UAAGGAAUAUUGCUCAAUGGGAGAAAUCCUGAAGCAGCAACGCCGCGUGGAGGAUGAAGGGUCUAUGACUUGUAAACUCCUGUAAAGAAGGAAAAAAUUCCCAUUAGAUGGGAGAUGAUGGUACUUCUGGAGUAAGCCCCGGCUAACUACGUGCCAGCAGCCGCGGUAAUACGUAGGGGGCAAGCGUUGUCCGGAUUUACUGGGUGUAAAGGGUGCUCAGGCGGAUUUGUAAGUCAGAGGUGAAAUCCUACAGCUUAACUGUAGAACUGCCUUUGAUACUUUUAUUCUUGAGUUCGGGAGAGAGAGACGGAAUUCCAGGUGUAGUGGUGAAAUACGUAGAUAUCUGGAAGAACACCAGUUGCGAAGGCGGUCUCUUGGUCCGACACUGACGCUGAGGCGCGAAAGCGUGGGGAGCAAACA
rnacentral:rRNA from 1 species